rnacentral:misc_RNA from 1 species
UACGGAGGAUCCAAGCGUUAUCCGGAAUCAUUGGUUUAAAGGGUCCGUAGGCGGGACAGUGAGUCAGUGGUGAAAGCCUGCAGCUCAACUGUAGAAUUGCCAUUGAAACUGUUGUCCUUGAGUAAUUAUGAAGUGGUUAGAAUAUGUAGUGUAGCGGUGAAAUGCAUUGAUAUUACAUAGAAUACCGAUUGCGAAGGCAGAUCACUAAUAAUUCACUGACGCUGAGGGACGAAAGCGUAGGUAGCGAACAGG